rnacentral:rRNA from 1 species
AUUGAACGCUGGCGGCAUGCUUUACACAUGCAAGUCGAACGGUAACAGGCCGCAAGGUGCUGACGAGUGGCGAACGGGUGAGUAAUGCAUCGGAACGUGCCCAGUCGUGGGGGAUAACGCAGCGAAAGCUGUGCUAAUACCGCAUACGAUCUAUGGAUGAAAGCGGGGGACCGGAAGGCCUCGCGCGGUUGGAGCGGCCCGUGUCAGAUUAGGUAGUUGGUGGGGUAAAGGCCUACCAAGCCGACGAUCUGUAGCUGGUCUGAGAGGACGACCAGCCACACUGGGACUGAGACACGGCCCAGACUCCUACGGGAGGCAGCAGUGGGGAAUUUUGGACAAUGGGCGCAAGCCUGAUCCAGCAAUGCCGCGUGCAGGAAGAAGGCCUUCGGGUUGUAAACUGCUUUUGUACGGAACGAAACGGUCUGGGUUAAUACCCUGGGCUAAUGACGGUACCGUAAGAAUAAGCACCGGCUAACUACGUGCCAGCCGCCGCGGUAAUAC